CUGACCCCAUGCCGAACUCAGCAGUGAAACACCGUAGCGCCGAUGGUAGUGUGGGGCCUCCCCAUGUGAGAGUAGGACACUGCCAGAC
rnacentral:rRNA from 1 species